CAGUCGCCACGGUAAUACGAAGGGUGCAAGCGUUACUCGGAAUUACUGGGCGUAAAGCGUGCGUAGGUGGUGGUUUAAGUCCGUUGUGAAAGCCCUGGGCUCAACCUGGGAAUUGCAGUGGAUACUGGAUCACUGGAGUGUGGUAGAGGAUAGAGGAAUUUCCGGUGUAGCAGUGAAAUGCGUAGAGAUCGGAAGGAACAUCUGUGGCGAAGGCGACUAUCUGGGCCAACACUGACACUGAGGCACGAAAGCGUAGGGAGCAAACAGGAUUAGAUACCCCGGUAGUCCCUGUCUCUUAUAC
rnacentral:rRNA from 1 species